UUCUGGUUGGGGGGCCGGUUACACUGCUGUGGGCAGCUGUUGGGUUGAAUGCGACCCGAUCCUGCAUCAUUGCGAGUCUUGUUUGUCGUCUUUGGCGUGAUGUGAUUGUCUCCGUGACGACUUCCCACAGUCUCCUUUUGUUUUUGGUCUCAGGCAGUAAAGUUGUACACGAGUCGACGUUAAGUUAAUUUUUUAUUUCUUGGAAAAGAAGACGAAAUUGAGCUUGGAACGGAGGAUAACGAGUACUGGUAGGAAGGGGGGGAGAGACUCGAACAGACGCUAACCUGGCUAGGCUGAUGUAGUAUCCCUAAGAAGGUGAAUUCUGGCUGUCGCUUCUUUCUCCACCCAGAAGAGUUUUUCUAUGUUCGUUCCUUCUCAAUGAUAGACAUUUGUUAUGCACUACUCUUUGUAUCUGAACAGUUUUGGACAGUCAGCAAUUCUUUUUGUUAAAAGAGAAGAAAAAAAAGGCGGUAAAGCAUGCUUUUUUUGACUGACAUGACAUUUUUGCAAUACCUCAAUUUUGAAAUAUAUUAGGAGAGAACCAAUAUUUUCUAAGUAAGUUUAUUCAAAUGAAAAAAAGAAAUAUAUAUCUAUAUAUUAAUUUAAUUCUUAGAGAGAAAUGAUUUAACAGAGGUUGAUUCUUAUUUUUUAUCAUGCUCAUUUGCUUUUACUUUCAAAUUUAUUUUUUGACAAUUGAGGGAGCUGGAGCUUUAUAACUUUAAUAUAAUGACAUAGUUAGUGAGCGUACAUUCUACUUUAUUACCAAGUAGUGAGUGAGUGAGUGCUGGUCUGGUUAAAAAUAACCAGCAACGGCACAGUGUCAACAAAACAUAACAAAUAAGGAAAUAAUCCAUUAGUAAUCGUUCGAAAAAAAUAAUUAUCAAUAAGAGAUCCUUAAUAUAUCGGGUGCUUGGAAAGAAAACUGAAGAUACUUCCCUUGAUUUUUUUUAUAUUUAUAUAAUCAAUCAUUUACAAUGCUGACCAGAAUAUUUUUUUUUUUUACUUUUUAUGUUUCCUACAAAUGUGUACUCCCUUUUCUUUUGUAACGUAAUAAAACACUUUGUGUUUUAUUAUUUGUUGGCCUGAUAUCAUAAGGGGGGGUUUAAAAAAAUAAAUGACAUUAAAAAGGACGUCUAAGAGUCACUGAAAAGCUUGGGAUAAAAAAGAAUGUUCUUUUUUUUAACACAAAACAGACUUAAGUGUUUUACCUGUAAACGCCCCCCUCCCAAAAGGUGCAUCAAUUAAAUGGUGGCCUUCUAUUCACGCAAGACUUGAAUUAGUCCCAUUUUUUAAGACUAAGAACCUUGAUUCUUUGUUGUAAUGUGCAAUACUGUUUGUACUGUUUGUAAAAAAAAAAAGAAGAAAAAAACAUGAAAAAAAGAGACAAAAUCUUUAUUGCAGAAUUAUUUUCAUUGCAAGCAAUGUGAUUCACUAAAAUCAUUUUCUACCGUGUGUUUACCUGCUAGUACCUUCCAGUGGUAAUGUAGCCUUUGUACUGAGAAAUUUUCAUUAUUUUUAGAACGUUUUGCUAAAAAAGAAAAGGAUUAAAACAUUUACAUGUUUUUUAUUUAAUAUUUUCUUUACAGACUUAUUUCUCAACCAUUUAAUAAAAAAAAAAAUAGGACAUGUAACUAAUCUUGCUGGAAUACUGUAUAUUACGUAUGCUUCUGUGGUCAGUCUUACUGGGGUACGCUGUUUAACGUCAAAACGUGAUAUUUAUAGACAAGUUGGAUGUCAAUUUAGUAAUUUACCAACAACCCACUUCAUAAAUGUAUUUUUUUUUUUAAGUAACUUUUUUUACUCGACUUGAAUACUGGUUCUUUAAUAUUGACUAGACAUUUAAAAAUGCUUACGUUGAAUUUAACCAUGCUUGUCUACACUUUGCAAUUCAGCUGUGAUUAUUCGGUGAGAAAAGAGAACAAUGCUGAUUGCGUCAGUUUCUAUGACCCCUCUGGCCCCCCCAAACCAGUUUGACCCUUUUCUGUAUCAAUAAGCUAAUGUUAUUAAAUGUAACUGUAUGUGUCGUGAACGCUUGUGGUCAUUUGCCUAGCCUCUUCCUCGUCCUUCUGCAGAAGACAUCUACCAGGUUUGUAGGCUCCUUGUUUGACAAAAAACAACCUUUUGGCAAAAUUUCAGAAUGACAAUUAGAAAUGAAAAAUAAUAUAAAC
ensembl:lncRNA